GAUGAACGCUGGCGGCGUGCCUAAUACAUGCAAGUCGAGCGAACGGACGAGAAGCUUGCUUCUCUGAUGUUAGCGGCGGACGGGUGAGUAACACGUGGAUAACCUACCUAUAAGACUGGGAUAACUUCGGGAAACCGGAGCUAAUACCGGAUGAUAUUUUGAACCGCAUGGUUCAAAAGUGAAAGACGGUCUUGCUGUCACUUAUAGAUGGAUCCGCGCUGCAUUAGCUAGUUGGUAAGGUAACGGCUUACCAAGGCAACGAUGCAUAGCCGACCUGAGAGGUGAUCCGCCAACCUGGAACUGAGAACAGGGUCCGAAUCCCACGGGAGGCAGCAAGAGGGAAACUUUCGGAAUGGGCGGAAGGCUGAAGGAGGAAAGGCGGGGGGGUGAUGGAGGUCUUCGGAUUGUAAAACCUUGUUAUUAGGGAAGAACAUAUGUGUAAGUAACUGUGCACAUCUUGACGGUACCUAAUCAGAAAGCCACGGCUAACUACGUG
rnacentral:rRNA from 1 species